GCACCUAAGCCGGGUUAAUCGCCAACCAGAAGAAGAAAACCUCUUAUUUAAAUUAACAUACCAAGAAAUUAAACACUAACUUCAACAGUUUCACAUAAAACGUUGCCAGUAAACUAGUGUUGAAAUAUAAUUAGAAACGAAAUGCUAUGUAUUUACAUAUCCAAUUAAAAUAGUAUUCGCAUCUAAUUAAUGCGCCAUGUUUCAUUUUAGUUUAGUUUUAUAUGUUUUGUACGUAAUUUUAUGCUGAAAGCCAACUCAGUACAGUUGUUAGAAAUCGCAAAUAAAACGAGAAUAUUUUUUUUUACUCUGAUAAAAGAUGUGACACGAAAUACACUAUAAUGCAUUUGUCAUUUGGGAUUCUAGUAUGGCUAUUUAGCACACAAUGGAGCAUUAGCGUUGAUGCGGCCCGCUGUCCGUCGAAUGAACCUGUUUGUGGCACUGACGGUAUCACAUACAAAAAUAUUUGUCAUCUGAACUCCGCUAAAUUGGAGGAUGAGGACCUGCAAGUGCUGCAUCAGGGCAGCUGUUCGAUUUCUUUAAACGAAAUUCCGAAACCGCGCAAAAUGAAAUUAAUGGCCAUGCAGAGUUCGAAAAGUCGUGGCCAUGGCAGGAGAAAGAAGAAAAGGGGGAAGGGACACCGUAUAUUCAAACGACCCAGGGAACUACAAAACAGGCGAUAUCAUGGUUUUUAAUUCUUCAAUGUCUAUUUAAUUUAUAAUUUAGUUAUAAAUGCAUACUAUACAUAAGGUAUAGUUUUAAGACAUUGUUUAUCAUAUUCCGAAAAAUUUGCCACUGACAACGUAAACAUAAAUAAAAUUAGCUUAUUAAUUAUGAUAAUUAAGUAUAAAGUCAUAAGAAAUAUAAUAAAUAAACAAUGGAUUAUAUACACUAUCAGAAUGCCAAAAUAUGAAUGCAAAUAUUAAGCACUAGGUUUCAAUAUAAAUAAACUAUGCAAUAACACACACACACACACACACACAGUUUAGCGUUUCAAAAUUUGCAUAUGCUGACAUGCAAAUGCAUAUAACCCGAUGUCUAAUAAUAAAUUAUGAUUUAAAAGCA